AUAGUGCCGCUAGAGGGAUAGCAGCGGCAUCCUUUUAUGUAGUCCUGAUAGCUAUCGGGACUACAUAAAAGAUACAGCAAAUAGCCCGACCCGAC
rnacentral:sRNA from 1 species